GACGAACGCUGGCGGCGUGCCUAAUACAUGCAAGUAGAACGCAGUUGCGAACGGGUGAGUAACGCGUAGGUAACUGCCUCAUAGCGGGGGAUAACUAUUGGAAACGAUAGCUAAUACCGCAUACUGUGAGCUGGAUCUGCGUUGUUUUAGCUAGUUGGUGGGGUAAAGGCUCACCAAGGCGACGAUACAUAGCCGACCUGAGAGGGUGGUCGGCCAAACUGGGACUGAGACACGGCCCCGACUCCUACGGGGGGCAGCCGUAGGGAAGCUUCGGCAAAUGACGGAAAGCUUGCCGAGCAACGCCGCGUGAGUGAAGAAGGUUUUCGGGUCUGAAAGCUCUGUUGUGAGAGAAGCGUUAACUAACCAGAAAGGGACGGCUAACUACGUGCCAGCAGCCGCGGUAAUAC
rnacentral:rRNA from 1 species